rnacentral:tRNA from 1 species
GGGGCUAUACGCUAACCUGGUAGACUGCCAGAUUCGGGUUCUGGUCAUCUGGGUUCAAAUCCCAGUAGCCCCA